AGAGUUUGAUUCUGGCUCAGAUUGAACGCUGGCGGCAUGCCUUACACAUGCAAGUCGAACGGCAGCAUAGGAGCUUGCUCCUGAUGGCGAGUGGCGAACGGGUGAGUAAUAUAUCGGAACGUGCCCUAGAGUGGGGGAUAACUAGUCGAAAGACUAGCUAAUACCGCAUACGAUCUACGGAUGAAAGUGGGGGAUCGCAAGACCUCAUGCUCCUGGAGCGGCCGAUAUCUGAUUAGCUAGUUGGUGGGGUAAAAGCCUACCAAGGCAACGAUCAGUAGCUGGUCUGAGAGGACGACCAGCCACACUGGGACUGAGACACGGCCCAGACUCCUACGGGAGGCAGCAGUGGGGAAUUUUGGACAAUGGGGGCAACCCUGAUCCAGCAAUGCCGCGUGAGUGAAGAAGGCCUUCGGGUUGUAAAGCUCUUUUGUCAGGGAAGAAACGGUAGUAGCGAAUAACUAUUACUAAUGACGGUACCUGAAGAAUAAGCACCGGCUAACUACGUGCCAGCAGCCGCGGUAAU
rnacentral:rRNA from 1 species